rnacentral:rRNA from 1 species
UUGACGGGGAGCACCACAACGGGUGGAGCUUGUCGGUUUAAUUGGAUUCAACGCCGGAAAUCUUACCGGGACCGACAGCAAUUAUGAAGGCCAGGCUGAAGACUUUGCCGGAUUAGCUGAGAGGUGGUGCAUGGCCGUCGUCAGUUCGUACUGUGAAGCAUCCUGUUAAGUCAGGCAACGAGCGAGACCCACGCCCACAGUUGCCAGCGUACUCUCCGGAGUGACGGGUACACUGUGGGGACCGCCGCUGCUAAAGCGGAGAAAGGAAUGGGCAACGGUAGGUCAGUAUGCCCCGAAUAUCCCGGGCUACACGCGAGCUACAAUGGUUGGUACAAUGGGUAUCUACCCCGAAAGGGGACGGAAAUCUCCUAAAACCAAUCUUAGUUCGGAUUGAGGGCUGCAACUCGCCCUCAUGAAGCUGGAAUCCGUAGUAAUCGCGUUUCAACAGAACGCGGUGAAUACGUCCCUGCUCCUU